CACGAACGCUGGCGGCAUGCCUAACACAUGCAAGUCGAACGAGACCUUCGGGUCUAGUGGCGCACGGGUGCGUAACGCGUGGGAACCUGCCCUUAGGUUCGGUAUAACUUCCCGAAAGGGGUGCUAAUACCGGAUAAUGUCUUCGCACCAAAGAUUUAUCGCCUUUGUUUGGGCCCGCGUUGUAUUAGCUAGUUGGUAGGGUAAAAGCCUACCAAGGCGACGAUCCAUAGCUGGUCUGAGAGGAUGCUCAGCCACCGUGGGACUAAGACACGGCCCAGACUACUCCGGGAGGAAGCAGUGGGGAUUAUUGGCAAAUGCGCAAAAGCCUGCUCAAGAAAUGCCGCGUGAGGGAUGAAGGCCUUCGGGUUGUAAAGCUCUUUUACGAGAAAUGAUAAUGACAGUACCGGGAGCAUAAGGUCCGGCUAACCCCGUG
rnacentral:rRNA from 1 species